GUUAAUGGCUCCUGCUUCUAUUCCUGAAAUACAAAUUUCCAUAGUAUUUUUCCCCAAGACUCUCCAGCCACACAAAAAAAACUGUGUAAUAGCCCAAAACCUAAUGUCAGGAAAGCCAAGUUUAGCACAUUAGGCUCUUGACUCCUUCUGAAAUUUACUGAUAAGCACUAACUCUCCUGCACCACGCUACCAAACUGGGGUUACUUUUCUGUCUUCUUUGGGUGUACAUUCAGAGGCCCACACGAAAUCCAUCACAGCCCUUUCUCCAGGACAAGCUGGUUCUUGAUGUGUUAAUUCAACAAACGACAGUCUCUAGCGACUGACCGGACCCCCCGACAGCCUCUCACCCUUGAGAGGCUCACCAGGCUGGGAGCUGCCUGUGUACCACCACUGUGUCUCCACCUGGUGAGGUCCACACCAUCCCAGGAGCGUGCAAGGAAGAGCCUGGCCUCAUCUCUUCCCACACAGAGUAGGCACUGCCCCCUGCUGGCUGCACCAGGUUGAGGGGGGCAGUGGCAGCCGCCCCGGAAGAGGCUGCUGCUUUCCCACUGGCCUGCGACUCAGGAGAGGUCAGUGGGCCUCACUGCCCGCUUCUCACUUCAGGUAUGCGAUGCCCACAUGCCCACUGGUUCAAUCACAUUCUCCAAGAUCCACUUCAGUUGGGACCAAAUACUGCAUUUCUCUUUAUGCAUCUUUCUCCUCCCCUCUCUCCAUUGGUUCAGAACUUGGCCAGGAAAGAGGGGUUUAAUUUGGGGGGCUCCCUUGGACCCUAGUUUGUACUGUGAAAAGAAAGUGAAAGUCCCUCAGUCGUAUCCCACUCUUUGGGACCCCAUGGAGAAGUCUCCAGACCAGAAUAUGGGAGUGGGUAGCCUUUCCCUUCUCCAGGGGAUCUUCCCAACCCAGGAAUCAAACCCAGGUCUCCCGCAUUGCAGAAGACUCAGGAGACCUGGGUUCGAUCCCUGGGUGGGGAGGAUCCCCUGGAGAAGGGAAUGGCAACCCACUCCAGAUUCUCGCCCAGAGAAUCUCUUGGACAGGGGAGCCUGGCGGGCUACAGUCCAUGGGGUUGCAAAGAACAGGACACAACAGAGCGAAUAACACCUGGCUCAGCUCUCAGG
ensembl:lncRNA